GGCAGUGGUGGCUCAAUGGUUAAGGCUCUGGGUUACUGAUCAGAAGGUUGAGGGUUUAAGCCCCUGCACUGCCC